AGGAGCCGUGUGAUGCGAAAGUAUCACGCACGGUUCUGAAUGGGAGGGGAGGUCGGUGACGACCUUCUCGACCCCUAAU
rfam:Microcystis aeruginosa NIES-843 DNA, complete genome.